GGCAUGUAUGGAGGUGGCCUGGGAGUCCUGAGCCCCAGCCCUGCUGCAGCCCUUGCUCCACAGCAGGGCUGAAUUGUCUCCUGAGGGGGUCCCAUGCUGGGGAAGGAGAUCACAUUCUGAAUCGCAUUCCAGGUGGCCUGCACUGCUCACCCGUUUCUGCUUGAACACCACAGGGCCCUCCUCCUGGGGCCUUUUUGGGAAGGCUGCCCCUCCCUGCGGCGGGGGAGAGCCAUGGACAGCCGGUCUCCCCUUCCCUGUCUGGGCUACAAGGUCCUCAUCGGGAUAAUACGGAAGGCAGCCUGAGACCGUGUUUCUUUGCAUUGAGAAACCCAAUGUUCCAAACAGAAAGACUCGGUGCCUGGCGUGUACUGAGCUGUUGUAGCCCCUUUAACCCUUCCAAGGAGAUCGCCUUGUAUGCAUGGCCUCACAGCGACCCACGAAGUAGGUGUUGUCGUCAUCAUCAUCAUCAUCAUCCUCACUGUCAAGCAACUGCCCGAUGUCACACAACUAGUGAGUGGCAGAACCAGGCUCGGAACGAGGCGUUCUGGCUCCUUAGGGCUGGGUUUGGGCUUGGCGGUGGGGAAGAUGGGUGUUGAAGACCAUCUGCAGCCACCCUGGCCCUGGUGGCCCUCAGGAGUCUAGUGCGAAAGCCACAAGCCUCGGUCUUCUCUCAAGGCCAUCACGGACCGGCGGUGACGUGUCCCACUGUGCAGAAACUCCUCGGCUGGGGACUCCACAUCCACCAACACCUGUAACCUUCAGAGCAGCCCCUAACCACCCCAAGCAGAACCAGUGUCUGUGGCGUCUCUCCCUCCUAGCCCUGGAGGCCCUCUAGGUGGGGACAGAGUCUGACUCAUCUGGGGUCCCUGGGACCCUGGGACCCUGGGAUCCUGCCUGGCCUCACUUCAGCCUACGCGUCCUAGGCAACCGUCCCGAGCCAGUGCUUCUGCUGCACAAGCUGGAAACCUUGGUGUCAGUGACACGCAGCCCCUGCCCUCAGGGUCCUGGUCUAGCCAGGGAGACAGCUCCCAACACAAAGAGGGACGUUUGCUGAGUUCACUCAACUCUCUCCUCGAAGCUCUAAGGGUUAGGCAAUGUGGGCAGAGGAGGAAACUGAGGCACAAGCAGGGAAGACCUUGCCCCAGGACAGCUGGGACUCCUAUCUGAUGCUUCCUUCCCCCGCCCCCCACGGCUUCCCCUUGCCUCAAGGCCCCUCUUACUGAGAACCCUACGCCACUCUCCAUCGUCCCGUGGCUGGGCCAGUGGGGACCCUGUUGAACCCUUGCCUUCCCUGUCUCCCCUGAAGCACACUUGAUUUUCCCUCUGGUUUUCUUUCCUGUGUAGACACGGCUGCUGGGGGCUCCAGGACCAAGGGUGGGGGGUGGAUGAGGGCAGCAGAGAGGGCGGCGUGGUCAGGGGAAGUGGGAGCCCCAGGGUUGCCCAAGGUCAAGAGUGUAGAGAAACAGAACUGGAAGUCCCCGGGCCUCAUGAGAACCAGCAGGUCAACCCACCCGCACCCUGACCUUCCCCCCUGCCCCUCCCCAGCAGGCUGCCCUAACUCAGCCUGGUAUCAUUUAAAACUCAAGAGCAGUGGGCUCCUGUCCCCUGGGCCACACACCCAUUCUCUCCUUCAGCUGGACCCCUCUUGCUGGCACCCCAUCCAGAGAGUCCCUGCACUUCACACACACCCGAGUGAGCAGUAAACCCCCAAAUUGCCUGUG